UCUCCUGGUUAGCUCAGUUGGUAGAGCAACGGAGUGAUGAUUCGUAGGUUGCGGGUUCGAAUCCCGCCCGGGGAG